GAGAAUUUUUACGAAUUCGAAGCCCCUAUUCGUGAUACAUUCGGUUUUUACAAAUACUUUGUUUUUGCGGCAUAACGUGUUCAAAUAUAAAAAUGUACUUUUCGCUGUUCAUUACGGCCGUCGCUGCUCUCCUCUGCAUCGUAUAUACGGGCGUUCCGGUUUCUGCCGGUUCGCACCACCCGGCGGGACAUGUAAUGGGUCUUCACAAAAAACCGUCUUCCGAGGCUACGCAUGUCAAAGUACAAGGGAAGAAUCACGGAGCCACGGGUCUGAAGGCGGAGCCAACAACCUCGGUCGUGAGUCACACACAACAUCUUUAUGUCCCUAAACCCAAAACAGCCGAAGGUUCAGGAAAAAGGGGCCAAAUACUUGUAAACAAUAGUUUUGAUCGUUAAAAAUUUCUACGGCAGUGACCGCCUUGUCUGCUUCCCUCUGAUGAUGCUUUUUUUACGGAUCCAGACGAUGUUCCUGUAAUGCACUCUCGUUAUUCUAAUAUCUGAAACACCUAUUCCUCCAAAUUUCAAGAUUCCUUAUCAGAUGUUACCAUCACUGUAAGGUGCUUUUCAAGUAUCAUUUUCAUAUCUUACCCAGCGGUCAGAAAUCUGUCUGCAUAAAACACUGUUGUCGUUUUGAAUAUAUAAAAGCUUCAAACAGCAGAUAUACAGAAACGUUUCUUAGUACACAAUGUUCUU